UUCCAUGCCCUCAUUGUUGAUAUGUUACAGACUCUAGGAGUGAGUCACCUGGGUGACGUCCUUCCAGCUGUGGAGUCUCUGAAACCAACAGCACAGUGACAAGCUGCUCUGACUGCACUCAGUGCGGCGUUUUGUGUCGUUUUAGAUUUCUGAAUAGGAAAAGAUAGAUGAGUCACGUUGAAUAUAUGAAAAUGUCCCUUCAGAGCUCUUCUAAGCAGCUCAACCAACCAAGUACCAGCUAAUAGUCACAACCCACCUGGAGCGGAAUGUUUACUUCCCAUCGAAAUUAAAUUUGUGGAGAAUAAAGAGCAGUGCUGGUCAGACUU